GCCUAAUACAUGCAAGUCGAACGGAGAUUACGGACGGAAGUUUUCGGAUGGAAGUUUGUAAUUCUUAGUGGCGGACGGGUGAGUAACGCGGGGCAACCUGCCCUAUACAGGGGGAUAGCAGCUGGAAACGGCUGGUAAGACCGCAUAAGUCGGUAAAUCGCAUGAUUUGAUCGGGAAAUGAGCAAUCAGGUAUAGGAUGGGCCCGCGUCCGAUUAGCCAGUUGGCAGGGUAAAAGCUACCAAAGCGACGAUCGGUAGCCGGACUGAGAGGUCGGACGGCCACAUUGGGACUGAGACACGGCCCAAACUCCUACGGGAGGCAGCAGUGGGGGAUAUUGCACAAUGGAGGAAACUCUGAUGCAGCGACGCCGCGUGAGUGAAGAAGUAUUUCGGUAUGUAAAGCUUCUAUUCAAGC
rnacentral:rRNA from 1 species